UACGGAGGGUGCGAGCGUUGUCCGGAAUCACUGGGCGUAAAGGGCGCGUAGGUGGCCGCUUAAGUGUGUGGUGAAAGCCCGGGGCUCAACCCCGGGUCGGCCGCGCAGACUGGGGGGCUGGAGCACUGUAGAGGCAGGCGGAAUUCCGGGUGUAGCGGUGGAAUGCGUAGAGAUCCGGAAGAACACCGGUGGCGAAGGCGGCCUGCUGGGCAGUUGCUGACACUGAGGCGCGACAGCGUGGGGAGCAAACAGG
rnacentral:rRNA from 1 species